UAUUGCACAAUGGGGGAAACCCUGAUGCAGCGACGCCGCGUGAGUGAAGAAGUAUUGCGGUAUGUAAAGCUCAAUCAGCAGGGAAGAAAAAAGACGGUACCUGACUAAGAAGCCCCGGCUAACUACGUGCCAGCAGCCGCGGUAAUACGUAGGGGGCAAGCGUUAUCCGGAUGUACUGGGUGGAAAGGGAGCGUAGACGGCGCGGCAAGUCGGAAGUGAAAGGCAGGGGCUUAACCCCUGAACUGCUUUGGAAACUGCCAUUCUAGAGUGCUGGAGAGGUAAGUGGAAUUCCUAGUGUAGCGGUGAAAUGCGUAGAUAUUAGGAGGAACACCAGUGGCGAAGGCGGCUUACUGGACAGUAACUGACGUUGAGGCUCGAAAGCGUGGGGAGCAAACAGG
rnacentral:rRNA from 1 species